rnacentral:rRNA from 1 species
CUACGCACUCCUACGGGAGGCAGCAGUGGGGAAUAUUGCACAAUGGGCGCAAGCCUGAUGCAGCCAUGCCGCGUGUAUGAAGAAGGCCUUCGGGUUGUAAAGUACUUUCAGCAGUGAGGAAGGUGGGUAUGUUAAUAGCAUACUCAUUUGACGUUAGCUGCAGAAGAAGCACCGGCUAACUCCGUGCCAGCAGCCGCGGUAAUACGGAGGGUGCGAGCGUUAAUCGGAAUUACUGGGCGUAAAGCGCAUGCAGGUGGUUGUUAAGUCAGAUGUGAAAGCCCGGGGCUCAACCUCGGAAUUGCAUUUGAAACUGGCAAACUAGAGUACUGUAGAGGGGGUAGAAUUUCAGGUGUAGCGGUGAAAUGCGUAGAGAUCUGAAGGAAUACCGGUGGCGAAGGCGGCCCCCUGGACAGAUACUGACACUCAGAUGCGAAAGCGUGGGGAGCAAACAGGAUUAGAUACCCUGGUAG